AUACGGAGGAUCCGAGCGUUAUCCGGAUUUAUUGGGUUUAAAGGGUGCGCAGGCGGGAGAUUAAGUCGGUGGUGAAAUUUUGCAGCUCAACUGUAAAAGUGCCUUCGAAACUGGUUUCCUUGAAUGUAGAUGAAGUAGGCGGAAUUUGUGGUGUAGCGGUGAAAUGCAUAGAUAUCACGAGGAACUCCGAUUGCGCAGGCAGCUUACUAAACUACUACUGACGCUCAGGCACGAAGGCGUGGGGAUCAAACAGGAUUAGAUACCCUGGUAGUCCACGCAGUAAACGAUGAUUACUAGCUGUUUGCGAUACAAUGUAAGCGGCUGAGCGAAAGCGUUAAGUAAUCCACCUGGGGAGUACGUUCGCAAGAAUGAAACUCAAAGGAAUUGACGGGG
rnacentral:rRNA from 1 species